rnacentral:sRNA from 1 species
GUAAGAAUGAGAAGCCUAAGUCAUCCGUUAAUCCACAGGCAAAGUACUAUUCAAGCAGCAGCAGUGAAAGCUCUCACAUGCUGCCCUGGAAAUAACCCCAGCCUUGACAUGGUAAGACGACCCUAGGUAAGGUCAGAAGCUCAGUUCUCAUGGUUUUUAAACAGUAUUUGGA